rnacentral:rRNA from 1 species
GACGAACGCUGGCGGCGUGCCUAAUACAUGCAGGUAGAACGCACAGUUUAUACCGUAGCUUGCUACACCAUAGACUGUGAGUUGCGAACGGGUGAGUAACGCGUAGGUAACCUGCCUGGUAGCGGGGGAUAACUAUUGGAAACGAUAGCUAAUACCGCAUAAUAUUAAUUAUUGCAUGAUAAUUAAUUGAAAGGUGCAAUUGCACCACUACCAGAUGGACCUGCGUUGUAUUAGCUAGUAGGUGAGGUAACGGCUCACCUAGGCGACGAUACAUAGCCGACCUGAGAGGGUGAUCGGCCACACUGGGACUGAGACACGGCCCAGACUCCUACGGGAGGCAGCAGUAGGGAAUCUUCGGCAAUGGACGAAAGUCUGACCGAGCAACGCCGCGUGAGUGAAGAAGGUUUUCGGAUCGUAAAGCUCUGUUGUAAGAGAAGAACGGGUGUGAGAGUGGAAAGUUCACACUGUGACGGUAUCUUACCAGAAAGGGACGGCUAACUACGU